GAGUGCCUGUGUUGACAUCUUCUGCACUAAAAUUGGACCAUUAAAGAGAAAUUAGCCUGGUCCCUGCACAAGGAGAACACGAACAUUCAUGAAGUGUUUCUUUUUCUU